CUUGCCACCUUUUUCACAAUCGCCAAACAGCUUUAUCGCCACCAUUUCAGAUCUUUGAUGACUCGAGAUCAAUUCACCCGGAUCAAAGUAAAGAAGUUCGAAAAUGUUGUGUGAAUUUUAUUUUGAAAUUAAUUGAAGAAAAUAAUGAUACUAAUAUAUGUCUAUUGAAUAUUGCUAUAUUGUGAUUUUGUAAUUUUGUUAAUGGAUAUCUAAUUUUUUUUUCCCGUGUUGUCAAGAUUAGUCGGAAAUGAGAUACAUGUACUCUUAUAUUUUUUUGUAUAAAUAUCAGAUAUUUUGAUUAUUAGAUGGUUAUAUAAAAUUGUGAUUGUUA